rnacentral:rRNA from 1 species
AGAAUCAACGCUGGCGGCGUGCCUCAGACAUGCAAGUCGAACGCGAAAGUCCCCGUUCGGGGGGCAAGUAGAGUGGCGCACGGGUGAGUAACACGUAGGUAAUCUACCUUCGGAUGGGGAAUAACAACCGGAAACGGUUGCUAAUACCGCAUAAUGCAGCGGCACCUAAUGGUGACAGUUGUUAAAGCGGGGGAUCGAAAGACCUCGCGUCUGAAGAGGAGCCUGCGGCGGAUUAGCUAGUUGGUAAGGUAAUGGCUUACCGAAGGCGACGAUCCGUA